CCAGUUGACCGGGUGGCCGCUGGCAGUGGGGUAACCUGCUGCUGGAGGAAAGUCCGGGCUCCUUCGAAACACGGUGCCGGUUAACGGCCGGCGGGGGCGACCCCAGGGAAAGUGCCACAGAAAGCAAACCGCCUGCCUUCGGGUCGGUAAGGGUGAAAGGGUGCGGUAAGAGCGCACCGGGCGACCAGCAAUGGAAGCUGCACGGUAAACCCCACCGGGAGCAAGACCAAAUAGGGAUGACGCGGGGCUUUACGUCCCAGCCAGUUUUGAGGCCAGAUCAUCCGGGUUGGUUGCACGAGCGUCCUGGUAACAGGCGCCAUAGAUGAAUGGUCACCACGUCUGCCCGCAAGGCGCAGGCCCUACAGAACCCGGCUUAUAGGUCAACUGGCGUU
rnacentral:RNase_P_RNA from 1 species